UACGUAGGGUGCGAGCGUUUGUCCGGAAUUACUGGGCGUAAAGAGCUCGUAGGUGGUUUGUCGCGUUGUUCGUGAAAACUCACAACUCAAUUGUGGGCGUGCGGGCGAUACGGGCAGACUGGAGUACUGCAGGGGAGACUGGAAUUCCUGGUGUAGCGGUGGAAAUGCGCAGAUAUCAGGAGGAACACCGGUGGCGAAGGCGGGUCUCUGGGCCGAUACUGACGCUGAGGAGCGAAAGCGUGGGGAGCGAACAGG
rnacentral:rRNA from 1 species